UUAAGCGACUAAGCGUACACGGUGGAUGCCCUGGCAGUCAGAGGCGAUGAAGGACGUGCUAAUCUGCGAUAAGCGUCGGUAAGGUGAUAUGAACCGUUAUAACCGGCGAUUUCCGAAUGGGGAAACCCAGUGUGUUUCGACACACUAUCAUUAACUGAAUCCAUAGGUUAAUGAGGCGAACCGGGGGAACUGAAACAUCUAAGUACCCCGAGGAAAAGAAAUCAACCGAGAUUCCCCCAGUAGCGGCGAGCGAACGGGGAGCAGCCCAGAGCCUGAAUCAGUGUGUGUGUUAGUGGAAGCGUCUGGAAAGGCGCGCGAUACAGGGUGACAGCCCCGUACACAAAAAUGCACAUGCUGUGAGCUCGAUGAGUAGGGCGGGACACGUGGUAUCCUGUCUGAAUAUGGGGGGACCAUCCUCCAAGGCUAAAUACUCCUGACUGACCGAUAGUGAACCAGUACCGUGAGGGAAAGGCGAAAAGAACCCCGGCGAGGGGAGUGAAAAAGAACCUGAAACCGUGUACGUACAAGCAGUGGGAGCACGCUUAGGCGUGUGACUGCGUACCUUUUGUAUAAUGGGUCAGCGACUUAUAUUCUGUAGCAAGGUUAACCGAAUAGGGGAGCCGAAGGGAAACCGAGUCUUAACUGGGCGUUAAGUUGCAGGGUAUAGACCCGAAACCCGGUGAUCUAGCCAUGGGCAGGUUGAAGGUUGGGUAACACUAACUGGAGGACCGAACCGACUAAUGUUGAAAAAUUAGCGGAUGACUUGUGGCUGGGGGUGAAAGGCCAAUCAAACCGGGAGAUAGCUGGUUCUCCCCGAAAGCUAUUUAGGUAGCGCCUCGUGAAUUCAUCUCCGGGGGUAGAGCACUGUUUCGGCAAGGGGGUCAUCCCGACUUACCAACCCGAUGCAAACUGCGAAUACCGGAGAAUGUUAUCACGGGAGACACACGGCGGGUGCUAACGUCCGUCGUGAAGAGGGAAACAACCCAGACCGCCAGCUAAGGUCCCAAAGUCAUGGUUAAGUGGGAAACGAUGUGGGAAGGCCCAGACAGCCAGGAUGUUGGCUUAGAAGCAGCCAUCAUUUAAAGAAAGCGUAAUAGCUCACUGGUCGAGUCGGCCUGCGCGGAAGAUGUAACGGGGCUAAACCAUGCACCGAAGCUGCGGCAGCGACGCUGAUGCGUUGUUGGGUAGGGGAGCGUUCUGUAAGCCUGUGAAGGUGUGCUGUGAGGCAUGCUGGAGGUAUCAGAAGUGCGAAUGCUGACAUAAGUAACGAUAAAGCGGGUGAAAAGCCCGCUCGCCGGAAGACCAAGGGUUCCUGUCCAACGUUAAUCGGGGCAGGGUGAGUCGACCCCUAAGGCGAGGCCGAAAGGCGUAGUCGAUGGGAAACAGGUUAAUAUUCCUGUACUUGGUGUUACUGCGAAGGGGGGACGGAGAAGGCUAUGUUGGCCGGGCGACGGUUGUCCCGGUUUAAGCGUGUAGGCUGGUUUUCCAGGCAAAUCCGGAAAAUCAAGGCUGAGGCGUGAUGACGAGGCACUACGGUGCUGAAGCAACAAAUGCCCUGCUUCCAGGAAAAGCCUCUAAGCAUCAGGUAACAUCAAAUCGUACCCCAAACCGACACAGGUGGUCAGGUAGAGAAUACCAAGGCGCUUGAGAGAACUCGGGUGAAGGAACUAGGCAAAAUGGUGCCGUAACUUCGGGAGAAGGCACGCUGAUAUGUAGGUGAAGUCCCUCGCGGAUGGAGCUGAAAUCAGUCGAAGAUACCAGCUGGCUGCAACUGUUUAUUAAAAACACAGCACUGUGCAAACACGAAAGUGGACGUAUACGGUGUGACGCCUGCCCGGUGCCGGAAGGUUAAUUGAUGGGGUUAGCGCAAGCGAAGCUCUUGAUCGAAGCCCCGGUAAACGGCGGCCGUAACUAUAACGGUCCUAAGGUAGCGAAAUUCCUUGUCGGGUAAGUUCCGACCUGCACGAAUGGCGUAAUGAUGGCCAGGCUGUCUCCACCCGAGACUCAGUGAAAUUGAACUCGCUGUGAAGAUGCAGUGUACCCGCGGCAAGACGGAAAGACCCCGUGAACCUUUACUAUAGCUUGACACUGAACAUUGAGCCUUGAUGUGUAGGAUAGGUGGGAGGCUUGGAAGUGUGGACGCCAGUCUGCAUGGAGCCGACCUUGAAAUACCACCCUUUAAUGUUUGAUGUUCUAACGUUGACCCGUAAUCCGGGUUGCGGACAGUGUCUGGUGGGUAGUUUGACUGGGGCGGUCUCCUCCUAAAGAGUAACGGAGGAGCACGAAGGUUGGCUAAUCCUGGUCGGACAUCAGGAGGUUAGUGCAAUGGCAUAAGCCAGCUUGACUGCGAGCGUGACGGCGCGAGCAGGUGCGAAAGCAGGUCAUAGUGAUCCGGUGGUUCUGAAUGGAAGGGCCAUCGCUCAACGGAUAAAAGGUACUCCGGGGAUAACAGGCUGAUACCGCCCAAGAGUUCAUAUCGACGGCGGUGUUUGGCACCUCGAUGUCGGCUCAUCACAUCCUGGGGCUGAAGUAGGUCCCAAGGGUAUGGCUGUUCGCCAUUUAAAGUGGUACGCGAGCUGGGUUUAGAACGUCGUGAGACAGUUCGGUCCCUAUCUGCCGUGGGCGCUGGAGAACUGAGGGGGGCUGCUCCUAGUACGAGAGGACCGGAGUGGACGCAUCACUGGUGUUCGGGUUGUCAUGCCAAUGGCACUGCCCGGUAGCUAAAUGCGGAAGAGAUAAGUGCUGAAAGCAUCUAAGCACGAAACUUGCCCCGAGAUGAGUUCUCCCUGAC
rnacentral:rRNA from 1 species